CUUGCUUCCCAGUAGCCUCUGCCAAUGGGAGACACUGGUGGGAGCUUGGAAGGAGGGUAGAAGGGAGAAAGAAGCUGAUUUUAUUUCUCCUUCUGUUGAAGUCUCUGGCAGUGGCAGCAGUAGCAGCAGUGGCAGCAGCUGCGGCAAUAGCAGUAGCAGCGGCAGUAGGCCCUGAAAGCAGCAGAUCUCACCUGCAUUGGAGGAUGAGACGCCACAUGAAGAAGAAAGAAGACGCCACAGACAGCAGCGCAGUACCACCUUCCAGAGAUGUCCUAAAAACAUCCUGAGUUUCUUUGGCCUGCCAGAAAGUCACCUUCCUGACUCACCUGUAAGGCUGGGAACUCCAUAAUCCAGGUACCAGGCAGACUUUCCGGGAGGGCUUCAUAUGCAUUGGCUCCAUAAAGUUAACCUUAGUUCCUCAAAACUGUCUGUUCAUAUGUGAUUUUAUGUCUUAUUCUCAGUUGGAAAUGCAGAAAUCACCUGUCUUCUGCGUCGAUCAGGCUGGGAGCUGCAGACCGGAGCUGUUCCUAUUCGGCCAUCUUGGAAUGGACCCCCAUGUCUUAUUCUCAAAUAAAACAUUUUGGUCAAAGCCUUGAUUAUCUAAUCAAUUUUUAAAAUUAUGUUCUGUUACAAAAAGGACAGAUUCUUAUCGAACCCAUAUAAAAUAGUAUAUCACCAUUGAUACGGUUUGGAUCUGUGUCCCCACUCAAAUCUGAUGUUCAAUUGUAAUCUCCCAGUGUUAGAGGUGAG
rnacentral:lncRNA from 1 species